GAGAAGGUCCACGCAGCGCAACAAACCCCUUCAACCUCAACCCCAACCUGAACCACUGCGAAUUGAUCGCUCAUGCUCUCUCUCAAUUCCAUUUCUCAAUUCCUUGUUCGAUUCGUUUGUAGCUGUGUUAAAUCCUCCAAUCUCCUCCGUCGCCCUUCCUCCCUUGAGGCAAAGAAAAGAAGGUCUCGGGGUUCAGCCAUGAUUACUCGAUCGAAUCUGGUUGAGCAGUUGAGAGAAUACCAGAUUCGAUCCAAGCACGAGUGGGCUUCCGUCUCCUUCUUCUCUUCUACCUCCAAUAUUUCAUCCUCCAGGGUGGAUGUAGUGAUUUUUGUAAUAUGGGAACUCAUAAUUCUAUCCUUCUUGGUGUUUUCGGCCGUUUCUUUAUAUUUUCGGCAUAUGCAGUUGGCUUU
rnacentral:misc_RNA from 1 species